GGGGCUGCAUGGAAUCGACAGGAAAUGAUAUUGUUUUGUAAGCAUGCCGUAGGAUGAUAUCACGCUACGUAAAAAACGGAUGUCGAAUCACAAAAGGCAAUACUUCUUUUGCUGUUGCAGCUUAAUCUUAGAGAUUAGGUAGCUUCUGUGCCCUCAACUGAAUGUCUGACUAGGUUGAGCUGCACAUUAUAAAAAUUCAGGCUGGCUCAAAGUAGGUCCCGGACGGCGAGCGAGAUUAAGGGAAUAAGGAUUAGAAAGGUCGUUUUAUUACCUACUCUUUUCCUGACAAUCGAAUGUAAAACUAAGCAUGUAGAAAGCACUUCGGUACUUUCUCUGGACGCGGGUUCGAGUCCCGCCAGCUCCACUA
rnacentral:tmRNA from 1 species